UACGUAGGUGGCAAGCGUUGUCCGGAUUUAUUGGGUUUAAAGGGUGCGUAGGCGGUUCUAUAAGUCAGUGGUGAAAUCCGGCAGCUCAACUGUCGAUGUGCCAUUGAUACUGCAGAACUUGAGUACAGACGAGGUAGGCGGAAUUGACGGUGUAGCGGUGAAAUGCUUAGAUAUCGCUUGGAACGCCAAAGGUGAAAACAGGUUGCUGGGAAUGUGCCGACGCUGAGACACGAAAGCCAGGGGAGCAAACGGG
rnacentral:rRNA from 1 species